GAACGACAGCGUUUGGCUGUGGGAAUUUCUACUAAGCGACAUUGCGCAGAAAUAAACCCCCCUGUCUUCAAAGCACGGAGCUGAAGAGGUCUGGGAGAAGAGGGAAAGCACAGCUGGGCUGAGACUCCAGGUUCCAGCAGGCAUUGUGGACCCACAGCUGGAUCCAGCUUUGGCUCUUCUUUGCCUGGUGCCACACCCCUGCUGCACCCACCAAGGCACAGAGGGACGUGGUGGCCACCCUGUGAGCAGCCCUUUGCCUGUGCUGCCUCCUAACCAUCGCACACGUUGUGUCCAGCCUCACAGAGAUCAUUCGGAAGGGUGGCAAUGGAAAGAAGAGCGAAAACUGAAAUGAGCCAGGGACGCAGGUAUCUGCGUUUGGAGCAGAGGCUGCAUCUGACCUGCUGUGCUUCAAGCAACGAGCGUGGUGUUACGUGGACUUCACUGCUGUGUGUAAAGCUCCCAGACGUGGUCGUGGAUCCUCUCCUUCCUGCCCUCUGAAGACAAAGCUCAGCAACGGAAUGAAAAGGAAAGCGUGAUGAAAGGAGUCUGCGUCCCUCAUUCUCUUCUCCAUCUCUAUGCUUUGAAGGCUCUUCAGGAGCAUUAAAAUGCCUUGGUGCUGAGCGGGGUUGGCAGGGGGAAUUGUGAAAAGCAAGUUCUCUGAAAUGCUUAGUCGACUUCUGACAGAACCUCUGGUGUAAAAUAUCUAAAGUUAUACUGGGAAAACAGCCCUCUCCUAGAUGGGCUAUCCAUCAUCUACCCAAAUGUGGGCAUCCACACGCCCGAGUGGGCUGGGUUCCUUUGCAGGUGAUGGAGAUAAAAAAACACUUUCAGGAUGCUUCAUUUCACCCCAAAGCCUAAACUGAAUCACAUCAGCUGCACCUAAGCAGUGCCUGCUCUCCCCAUGGACUCCCAAGUGGUCCUGGGGGGACCAGCUCCAUGCAGGCAGUAGUGGAGAUCAGUCUCUCCUCUGCACCCGAGGCUCUCCACGUCACGGUGAGACCCUGAAAGCUACAGCUCCCUCUUAUUCAUGGUGGUGCACCCACGUCAGCCUGAUGAGCCGUCCCCCAUCAGCUUUGUCAUUUCUAGUGGUGUUUGUGGAAGGAGAGCUGGUGGCGUGGGGUGCCAGGGUGACAAGAUGCAACAUCCCCGGCUGAGCCCUAUCCCAAAGGGGACAUCCCCCGAAAUCCCCUCCUCAGUGGGACAUCUCUCAUGCAGGUGUGCCAGGGCGACUCCAAAACCCUUCUGGCAGCUAAGAAAAUGGUGGAAAAGGACAGAAAUUCUGUAUCUCUGGUUUUCACUAGUCCCUGGGGCAGUUGCACAAGCUGCCGGCAGCCUCUUGCUCCAUCAGCUUUCCGCUCUCUGCUCUCCCACUGCCCGAACCCCUGCCGUGUUUGGGGCUUGCUGGCUGCCGCAGCAGCAGGACAGCCCGUGGCUCCCAGCCCGCGAGGGCUCAUCCGCAGUGUUUAUUCAUCCAGAACUCGGCUGCACUAGCACAAAACGGGGAUAACUGCUGUCUCUCGGCAGCCAGCCCUGCGGGUUAAUGCUGGUAUAAUAAACUCAUUUUCUCCAGCUUUUUCUUGGGGUGCUAAGCACAAACUCUCAUCCACAAACCCACGUGAGCUGCAAUUAUUCAACCCUAACCCUGUGCAUUAAAUACUCCCCAAGCUGCGCUCCGGGAGGUCAGUCGCAAGCAGCCAGCAGCCGGGACGUGGGGCUGCGGUAAACCAUAGCAGCACUUCUGGCACGGGGACAAAAUCCCCCAAUCUUGGAGAGGAAAACACAGAUUGUGGCCGGCCUGGGCAAUGCAAAGGCCAGUGAAGACAAGGGGAAAUUGCAAAGACAACAGGCUGGACGCAGAAGUAGAGGAAAGUGGCAGCUGAGUUUGCAAGGAGCGAGUCUGUGCACCGAAGGGGCUGUUCUGUGCUAACGGGGCUGAAAGCGGAGGUAAAGCCGUUGUUAGCAUUUCCCUUGGGGGAGCGAUUAGGAGCUGGCGAAAUGCUGUUGACAGAAAUACUGUCUGCAGCGCGGAGCGGCUAAUGAAGAAGACGGGUCUUGUGUUCCCAGAGAGAAUGGGACGCUGGAGAGUCACUGGUAUUUUUAGCCUGGCUUUCUAAAGAAAUGAGGGGUUUUGCAAUUGCUCAUGAUACAGGCAGAUGGAGGCUGCUCUUGCCAUUCCUCCUUCUAGUGAGCAUUAGGCUCAGGGGCCCCAUCACCCCCUGGCUUUGCCUUCCCUCUGUGGAGACCAUCCCCCACCACACUCUCCAGCAGCAGCAAUUUGGAGGUGACCUGGGGACAAGAGACGAGGCUGCUGCUCCCUCCCGCACUCCUCGCUGAUGCCAGUCGCCUGAGCCAUCCGGGCAGGACACGGCUGCCUGUAGGUUGGGGCACAGAGACCUUGAGCGAGCCUGGCAGUGAGGGAUGAAGGCUGCUAGUGAGGAAGACUCGCUACAGGGUUCAUUUCUGCAUGGCUGUGGCUAGCACCCGCAUCAAGCUAAGGUCAGACACCCACGGGUGCUUCUGCCUCCAAGUCUGGUGCCAACACAGUGGCCACCAGCAAGGAUGAGUUUACCCUGUUCCUCAGACCUUGCUGGUUUGAAAGACCCUGAGUUAUUUUAGCCAUGUUUUUCUUUCUUUUGGGUGUUUUAUGCAGCACUGAGAAGGAUUUGACCUACAAGGCUAAAGUGCUUCUGCCUAGUGACCGUCCCUGUGCACUUGUUGGAGGAUCCUAUUCUUCUCUGCCUCUUGGUGGGAGCUGGUCCUGCUCAUGCCAAAGAAGUUGUCAAGAUACAACAGCUGCCAGAGAAACAGCAAAACCCACAAGUUUCUGUCCAGAAUUUGUUUCCUGAAGACUCUUUGGACAGGGGUUGUGUGUGAACGUGCCUGCCAUUUAAUGGGAGGAGCAAAGACCGAGGUCGUUUGGAAAGGCAGGCUUUCUCACAAGUGAUUUCCCACCAUUUGCUCAGCUUGAAUCACAGAAUCAUAGAAUCACAGAAUGGUUUGGGUGGGAA